AGACCCCCUUAUCGUCCCCACCUUCUUCUCUUCCUCGAUAACUUGUUGUACUUCUCCAUCGCUUCUUCCCCCGGGAAGAAAGGAACCGCCAUGGCGGAGGAGUGCUGCAGCGCGGACCUGCUGGAGUGGAUCGGCCCUGACGUCUCAGCAUGCGUCUUCGGCCGCCUUGACCACCCCGCCGACCUCGUCCGCGCCGCCGCUGUCUCCAGAACCUGGCGCAGAUGCGUGGUCGAGAGCGGCUUGAGCAAGAGCCUUUGCCUGCGGCUGUGCCCCGAGGUCGCCACCGUCGCCGCGGCGGCAGAGGUGGCCAGAUCGCCGCCUUCAACCGCCGCCCAUGAAUCAGGCCACGAGAGGGACUACAGGAUAUACUCCAACCUCGCCGGCGCCUACGUCUCCGACUCCGCCGCCAAGCCCUCCGCGGAAUGCAUCUUGGACUGCAUCGGGGCCUCCAGCACCGACGACUUCCCAGCAGAGACCAUGGAAAACACCCUCGACGAGGAGGAGAUUAUCAAUUUCCGCCCGUCCUAUUGGUCGAGCGGCGGGGCGGACGACCCGGAGGCGCCGGAGAGCCUUACCUACAGGCUCAACUCUGACAUCUGCAUUGUCGAUGAGAUUCGGGUGCGGCCGUACCAAGCCUUUUUUCAGGAUGGUGACCCUAUAUACUCUUCAAAGGUGGUGCGAUUUCGGAUGGGCCAUUACAAGCUUCCGCGAGGAUCAGAGACGUUUGUAAUGGAUGAUUAUGAGAAUAAGAUGGUAAAUGCUGAUGAAAAAUACAUGUGGACUUACACUUCGCCAGAGUUCCCUAUGUUACAGAAAAACGAACUACAAUCCUUCAAGCUCCCACGCCCCGUCCUUUGCAUUGGUGGUGUGGUGAUGAUUGAACUCUUGGGCAGAGUACAGAAACAAGAAGCAGAUGAUAGGUACUACAUAUGCGUUUGCCAUGCUGAAGUGAUGGGGCGUUCACUCUCACCACUUUUCAUGGUUGAAAUCUCGGAUCCUGAAGGUUAUUCAAUCCUCAAGUACUUACCGGGUGCCAAAGACCUAUCCAUCGAUGACUUUUUGCAAGAUGAUACCAAAGACUCGCCGGAGUGGCACUAUCUUGUUGGUAGAUACAGGCAGAUGAAUCACAGAGCAGUAGUAGUGAGUGCACUUUUGGAGCCUGUACAUUACAUGCAUGAUGUAGGUGGCAUCUCAGACGAUGAUCAUGAAGAUGAUGUAGGUGGCAUCUCAGACGAUGAUCAUGAGGAUGAUGUAGGUGGCAUCUCAGACGAUGAUUAUCUUGAGUAGAUUUGCGUGCUGGACUGCAGCUACAACUCUGCCGUGGUUUUACUCUUUGUAGUUUAGCGAACACCUCUGAACUCUGCAAGCCUUUGUUGCAAACAUUUCUGAAGCCUCGGUUCUUGAACCUAGAGGACCUGAUCCAGACAAGUUGCUCUUACGGUCUGCAACUCUGCUCAAGCUUGCUCGUGUUUUCUCUUGUGUUUUUGUUUAGUGACUUACUGUAUAUAUAUGCUGAAUGCAUUCUAAUCGUCGUGGAGUUGCAUCUCCAGCAUUGAGCGUUUACCCUUUGAGCUUGCCUGGGACUCAGGCUUAUGGAACCUUUGGGGACUACCGGGUGGAACCUUGAUGUGUUGAUGUGACCGCAAGACCAUGGCAUCUGAGAAGCAUGGGUCAUUAUGCCAUCAAUCACCAUGUUGGUAUCCUGAGGAAAAUAACUCGCAUGGCCACUAUCUAUCACACAAGGAUAUCCUUUUAUCCGAGUAUGAACCAGGGAAGUGCUCCAUCACAUUUAUGCUUCAUCAUGGACGGCCCAAACUGAAGCUUUCUUCAUACAUGAGACGGAUAUUUCCUUCUAUAACUUCUCCAUAUCAUCUUUCCCCAAAAAAUAAGGUUAGUUUCUUAGUGAAGAGUCACUGUCUCAUAUGCAUACUACAGAUAAAUGUGGCGCCAGUUUGCCUUGAAAGUAUCACCUUCAUCUUCUCUGAAUUAGUCCUGGCUCUGGCCGCCGAACAUUUGCAUUAUCAUGCUGUGAGGCGUAAACCUGGAAAUGCUGGUGUUUGUUGUUCUUCAGGCAUAGUUUAACCAGAGAUAUCAUUAGCAUUUCA